rnacentral:rRNA from 1 species
AUUGAACGCUGGCGGCAGGCCUAACACAUGCAAGUCGAGCGAGAGGCGGAGGGGGGAGAAAUGUGUGGGAAACUGCGUGAGGGAGGGGGGGAAAAACUGGAAAAGGGAGCGAAUACCGCAUACCAUCAGAUGUGCGCAGAUGGGAUUAGCGAGUAGGUGGGGUAAAGACGCACCUAGGGGACGAUCCCUAGCUGGUCUGAGAGGAUGACCAGCCACACUGGAACUGAGACACGGUCCAGACUCCUACGGGAGGCAGCAGUGGGGAAUAUUGCACAAUGGGCGCAAGCCUGAUGCAGCCAUGCCGCGUGUGUGAAGAAGGCCUUCGGGUUGUAAAGCACUUUCAGCGGGGAGGCGUUACCCGCAGAAGAAGCACCGGCUAACUCCGUGCCAGCAGCCGCGGUAAUAC